AGCAAAUGAGCUAGAAAGUUGUAAACAUUCGUGAACGCAAACCAACAUUCUAGCUAGCUAGCAACAAUCGCAGCAGUACUGUAAUGGAUUGCUUCAUGAAUGCUGUCUCCAACGGACCAUGGAGGAGAAAACAACACUGUCUGCUUGUUGAAUACUACUUCUACAAACGAGGCUACACUUGUGGCAGCACCUAUUCCUGUGCCCCCACAUCUUCUGCACCACUUCUUGUGGCCCCCUCCACCUAUACCACUUCCUGUGGCCUCCCCUCCACCAUUCCCUGAGGCUUAUCGUCCACCUUCACCACACUCUUUUGUUGAUGUUGGUGAUGACAAUGAGACGCUGACGGAAAAGGGGCAGCUGAUGAGGGUGGUCCAUCGAGAAUCUCUCCGGCUGCUAAUGAGUGCCAUCCAUUCCUCUGGAGUCUUUGAGGGACCUGAUUGGCAAAAAUGCCUUUCUUGCAACUCUCAAGCACUCUAUGAUGGCGUAUACAAACAGGUGGGCCCCAUGACUGCUGUCUGUCUGGUACAUGGGGGUGUAGAGACACAUUUUUUCAGAGAGGCUAUACAGGCAAGUGUGUGGCCUACAACCUCCUGUGCCAGAACUGAAAGAAAUUGCGGAAUAUGACUUCAGAGAGAAGUUGGAGAAGUUCAAUAAACAAUUUAAGAUCCAGUAUGCACAAACCAUUGAUGAGGCACUGGAAGCGGUCAUGUUGGGUCCAGUGUGAUUCAUUCGUACAUUGAAGAGGGAUG
rnacentral:lncRNA from 1 species